UUAGGUAAAUCCGAUCUGGGCC
rnacentral:misc_RNA from 1 species